GAUGAACGCUGGCGGCGUGCUUAACACAUGCAAGUCGAACGAUGAAGCCCAGCUUGCUGGGUGGAUUAGUGGCGAACGGGUGAGUAACACGUGAGCAACCUGCCCCUGACUCUGGGAUAAGCGCUGGAAACGGCGUCCAAUACUGGAUAUGUCCCGUCACCGCAUGGUGUGCGGGUGGAAAGAUUUUUCGGUUGGGGAUGGGCUCGCGGCCUAUCAGCUUGUUGGUGAGGUAAUGGCUCACCAAGGCGUCGACGGGUAGCCGGCCUGAGAGGGUGACCGGCCACACUGGGACUGAGACACGGCCCAGACUCCUACGGGAGGCAGCAGUGGGGAAUAUUGCACAAUGGGCGGAAGCCUGAUGCAGCAACGCCGCGUGAGGGAUGACGGCCUUCGGGUUGUAAACCUCUUUUAGCAGGGAAGAAGCGAAAGUGACGGUACCUGCAGAAAAAGCACCGGCUAACUACGUG
rnacentral:rRNA from 1 species